UACGUAGGGUGCGAGCGUUAAUCGGAAUUACUGGGCGUAAAGGGCGCGUAGGCGGUUUUGUAAGUAAGGUGUGAAAUCCCUGGGCUUAACCUAGGAAUGGCAUUUUAAACUACAAGGCUAGAGGACAGUAGAGGGUGGUGGAAUUCCUGGUGUAGCGGUGAAAUGCGCAGAUAUCAGGAGGAACACCAAUGGCGAAGGCAGCACUCUGGGACGUGACUGACGCUGAGACGCGAAAGCGUGGGGAGCAAACAGG
rnacentral:rRNA from 1 species